ensembl:lncRNA
ACUUGGCACUUUCCUAUGUGAUUUCAAGAUGAUAUAUAUCUUCAAAACCUGUACAUUUCUCUUUUCACUCAGGAAAUAUGUCCAAUAUGUGGACAAAACUUUCCCAAGAGGACAUACAAUUCCAUGCAAGCUUUUGUGGAGAUGGCAAACAGCAGUCCGUUUCAUGAAGAUGUUGCUGGAGAAGGGACUUCUGGAAUAAAUAAUCUCUUGCAGCAAGGGUCCAGGCAUACAGUGCCACAAAGCACCACUUCCACUGUUGCAGUCAAUCCUGACGAACCAGAAUGGAAGGAAAUAUUCAAUGCUUCAAGUGCAGCAACACCCUUUCGAAGAUGUUUGUUGAGAGAGCAAGGGCUGGAGAAACCUAUUCGCUUCUCAAUGGACAUAGAAUCAGGUGUUGAAGACAGAGAAAAAGCAGAGAAAUACUCAUCAUGCAGGCAGACUGGUGGGGCAUUCUUUCAUUCACGGUGGCCCAGGUUUGGCAGGCAUCAGUCCUGCUGUUGUCCAUGUGCUCCUAGGAGGGCAAUUGGAGACAGCAACAUUGGUCCUGGAGGAUUGCCCUGAUCUUGAUCAGAGGAACACUAUCCACUUGCUGGAAGGCAUCAAGGAGCUAUCUGAGGACCAGAAGGCUGAUGUCAAUAGCCUGACAGACAUGUGGGAACUGCCACGACUGACUGAUAACAGAUGAUAUCUUCAUCGGCAGCUUUUGCAGCAUGCGGUAAUGAAAGAGUUUGUUGAAAUUGAUGCUUUUUAACAUACAGUAACUCAAUACUUGGCUGGUUCUGAAUCUGUCAUUUUAUAUUUAUUUAUUUAAUAAAAGGAUAAAAUAUGCUAAAUAUUUUGACUAUAACAUUAUCACAACAGCGA